AGCAGCGGUCGGACACGAAGCUCUUUGCUCGACUUUCGAAUCCUCCCCACUCCCAACCCUGAAUUCACCACCUUGUCGCGUCCUGACUGUUCCAUCCCUACGAUGGCGACGCCCAGCGUCGAUUUGUGCGCAUUUUCAUCCCCUGCUCGGAGAUUCGUUCUCCUAUGGACGCCUGUGCGCUUAUCGAAUGAAAAUCGUUUUGUGCUAAAUCAGUGUAUUGACGUAAAAUUAGUGCCUUGUUGAGGAUAUUUUUACGAGCAAUUAUUGGACCGCAUAAAAUGGUGCUGAAGGGGGACAAGGGGGGAGCGGAACGAAGGGGAAGAAACACGAGGGGAGAAGAAUGGAGUUGUGGAACGGCCAGGGGAGCGAGAGGGAAGGGAAAGAUGCCGGCUGGCAAGCAGAUGGUUGCCCCGUUUAUUGGUUUAUUCGUUGGUUCAGCCAUGACGUUCUGUCCGGCCAUGAAACAAGCCGGAGAUUCUCCUUGUGUUAGAGAGUAUCAAGCAACGAGGCUACAACUGCUCUUCCCAUUAAAACGCAUCCGCGAGCUACUUACCCGGGUAGUAUAUUUUUCGAUACUUCUCCCGCAUCUGAUAUCGUUCCUGUCAUGAUGAAUUUAUAUAUUAUGAAUCUAUAAAUUUCUAUAAAUUCUAUAUGUAAGUAUAAUGAAAGAAUCUUUAAAAUCGGUAUUUGU